UCAGGAUGCUGGACAGGCAAUGGCGUAGCAUCUCUCUUAAGACAUCUGACCGGAUGGUUCUAUUCAGGUCUUGUUCUGAGCUGUUCUCGACAGCUGUGCAUGGCAACGAUCCCUUCUAGCUGGUUAGGACUUGUACAAAUUGCAGGAUAGGGGGAGAUUCUGACCGUAGGAUUCUGGGGCACCCAUCUUUGCCCCGCUUGCGAUAAGUCCUUCUGUUAGCGUCUUUGUUCCUCCAGGAUUCUCUGAGCCUGACGGGCUCACCGUCGCUCUCACCCAGGUCAUCUGGUCCCGCCUUCUCUGGGCCCUGGCUGGCAUUCUUCUCGCCGAGAGCUUUCUCUCCCUGUUGUGUCCCCUGGUUUGUCUUGUUCUGUGUCACGGGUGUCUGGGUAUUGGGCCCGAAGCUGCUCUGCCCUGCUGCACAGCCUGGUGUAGGUAUCAUAGGACAAGUCCUGGGGCCUGGGGAGUUGUAAUGCUGGGUGUUUUAAGGGCUGUCUGACUAAUAGUUUUUUUGGGUGUUUUUUAGGGUAUUCUUGUUCCUGUUUUUGGAUUACUUAGAAGUUUUUAAAGGAAUUUCAGGUCUUUUGGUGGUAUAUGGACAAGUUUUUUCAGGCUCGGGACUUUUUAGGGAUUUUGAGGGUAUUUUUUAGACUUUCUUUUAGCUUCCAAUCAGGGCGUUUUAAAUGGUUUUUUAAAUAUUCUUGGAACUCACUUAGGACUCUUUAGGGAUUUUUUAAAGUUUUUUCGGAUAUUUUUAAGCCAUUUUCGGGCUUUUUAUAAAGUAAUGUAUUUUUAGUGUUUUCUGUGGCUUUUUAAUGUUUUUGGGGAUGUUUAGGACACUUUGGAGACGAGGGUGUAUUUUUAGGGAAUUAAUGGGGUUUUUUAGGCUCGUUUUGGGGCGUGACAGAGGUUUAGGGGCGCUGUGUUGGCUUGAGGAUGGCAGAGGCUGGGAGCUGAGGGAGGAGCAGGGAGAAGAAGGGACAGUGGGUGACACACAGAGAUUCUGAGGGUGGCCGGGGCAGCUGAAGGGUGACAUAGAGAAGCUGGGACUGAAAGGCUAAGGAGAGGAGUUAAGGGUGACGCACAGGAGCUGAGAGGGGGCUUGAGGGUGACAGGGCCUGAGGACUAGGAGGCUGAAGGAGGGACUGAGGGGUAAAGGGAGAGGGCUUGAGGGCUGCGCAGUCCAGUGCAGAUCCGCGCUACAGGGUACAUCUUAGGAGGCAAGACAGUGUACAGCUGCACCACCCCUCAGCCCAGCCCUAAUCCCAGUCUAACCAGCCCCCCUAAUAACAGCCCUUUCCCCCAACGGCAGCGCAACACAGCAACCCUAACAGUGAGACCAGAGCGGAACCCUCCCGGUGGGACACGGCAGCAACUCUCAUACCAGGACAAUGACAGAACCUGAGAUGACAACAAGAUCCACUGCAUAAAGUUAGGGAAGACAUCUCAGGGUUGGAGAGCAAGAGGAGGGGCUUGUUGGAGGCUGAGCAGGUUCAUUCCCAUUGUGAUCUGCAAGUGGCAAAUCAGGGUUGCUCUUUGUUAAAACCAAAAGCGCUCUCAGAAUGUUGAUGGAGGUGAUGAUUGCAGGGGCGAUGCUUCUGAAGAAUAGCUCCCCCAUCUUCCCCAGGGCCUGGGCAGAGAGAGGUGGAGCUCGGAGUCCCCCCAGUCCUCCCGCGGGUGUCGGCGUCUGCAGCGCCAUCGGGACGGGAUCCACGGCGCAGCUCCCUCCUCCAGAGGCCGAAAGCUCAGCCUCCAGUUUCGUGCAGGGUGAUCACCUUUCCAGGGCAAUACAAGCACUUCCCAAGAGCAGCUGGUGAAGAUGGCGCAGAAGCAAGGACAAGGGUGCAGUGAAAAGUUUGGUGCAUCGAUCCAGCUUCCGGACAUGUGAUCUUCUACCCUGCCCCACGGCAAGAAGAGUUUGGUGAUUUUGCUGCUCUGCUCUCUCAAGGGUGUUGCAGGCUGCGUAGCAGGGAGUGAAGCCCUUGUCGCUGCUCAUCAGACACUUUCCUACAGAAUUCUCCCUGCAGUGAUAAAAUUAGACUGGUGUUAGUGAGCUGCCAAGUAGAGCAGGUAACAUUGGACAAGAAUUGUUUCUGAGCUGCUGUUCACUAGCACGUGUUUCCCCUUUCCAGCGCGGUGCCGCCGCCCAAGAAAGGAUUUUUGUGGGUCAGCCAGAUGUGCUCCUGCCUCCCACUGAGGCUCUGAGAUGGAGCCGAGUUUGCAUUCCAGUUUAUUGCAACAGAGGGUCACGGGAAAUUUCCUCAGCUAUCUCAGGCACAGAGCCAUGGAAGCAAGACAGCACGAAGACUGAACGUGUAAGAAGAUGUGGGGUGCAAUGGAGAACCUGGCAGGAGCAUCCGACGCACACGUGCACGAGUUUUGCUUUUUGCUUGGAUUGAAACUCAAAAGUUGUAAGGAAUUUGGGAAUGAGAUGGGACGUUUCAGAAGAAGAGGAAGGAGGAGAAGAAGUUGUUGUUACAGUCCUGGCAAAAUCCUUUGUUCUAGCUAAUAAAAGAAGUUA